rnacentral:rRNA from 1 species
AGAGUUUGAUCCUGGCUCAGGAUGAACGCUGGCGGCGUGCCUAACACAUGCAAGUCGAGCGAUGAAACCGCCUCCGGGCGGACAUGAAGCGGCGAACGGGUGAGUAACACGUGACCGACCUGCCCCCCGCCCAGGGACAGCCCCCCGAAAGGGGGAUUAAUACCUGGUACUCCGGCAAGGACGCAUGUCCUGGCCGGGAAAGCCUUGGCGGCGGGGGAUGGGGUCGCGGCCCAUCAGGUAGACGGCGGGGCAGAGGCCCACCGUGCCGACGACGGGUAGCCGGGUUGAGAGACCGACCGGCCACAUUGGGACUGAGAUACGGCCCAGACUCCUACGGGAGGCAGCAGUGGGGAAUUUUGCGCAAUGGGGGCAACCCUGACGCAGCAACGCCGCGUGCGGGACGAAGGCGUCCGCGUCGUAAACCGCUUUCAGCGGGGAACACUUCAACGAGGGUACCCGCAGAAGAAGCCCCGGCUAAAUACGUGCCAGCAGCCGCGGUAAUACGUAUGGGGCGAGCGUUAUCCGGAUUCAUUGGGCGUAAAGCGCGCGUAGGCGGAGCGCUAAGCGGGACCUCUAACCCGAGGGCUCAACCCCCGGCCGGGUCCCGAACUGGCGCUCUCGAGUGCGGUAGGGGAGAGCGGAAUUCCCGGUGUAGCGGUGGAAUGCGCAGAUAUCGGGAGGAACACCGACGGCGAAGGCAGCUCUCUGGGCCGAAACUGACGCUGAGGCGCGAAAGCUGGGGGAGCGAACAGGAUUAGAUACCCUGGUAGUCCCAGCCGUAAACGAUGGGCGCUAGGUGUGGGGGAGACUAUCCUCCGCGCCGCAGCCAACGCGUUAAGCGCCCCGCCUGGGGAGUACGGCCGCAAGGCUAAAACUCAAAGGAAUUGACGGGGGCCCGCACAAGCAGCGGAGCAUGUGGGUUUAAUUCGAAGCAACGCCGAAGAACCUUACAAGGGCUUGGCAUCCCCCGUGAAACGGCCGGAGACACCCUGGCCGGAAAGAACGGUGACAAGUGGUGGCAUGGUUGUCCUCACCUCCUGCCCCGCAGGGGGUUGGUGUUAAUUCCCCCCACAAAGGGGAACAUCUGCCCCCCGUUGGCGCGCAUCAAAUUUGGGGGACCCCCCGGGGGACGCCCCGCGGCUAACCCCGAGAAAGAGAGGGGAGAGAAUUCAAGGUCUUAUGGGCCCUUAUUCCUUUGGGCCGCAAGGUGUCAAAUAGGCCGGGUACAAAAGGUUGGCACCCCGCGAGGGGGAGCGGAUCCCGCAAAGCCGGCCCCAGUUCGGAUCGGAGGCUGCAACCCGCCUCCGUGAAGCCGGAGUUGCUAGUAAUCGCGGAUCAGCACGCCGCGGUGAAUACGUUCCCGGGCCUUGCACACACCGCCCGUC